UGGCUCAAAGGUAGAGCGUUCGACUCAAUUUCCAAAGGUCGCGGGUUCGAAUCCCGG
rnacentral:tRNA from 1 species